rnacentral:misc_RNA from 1 species
AACUUGUGGCAACGGAUCACUUGGCUCUCGCGUCGAUUAAGAACGCAGCGAAAUGCGAUAAGUAAUGUGAAUUGCAGAAUUCAGUGAAUCAUCGAAUCUUUGAACGCACCUUGCGCUCCUUGGUAUUCCGAGGAGCAUGCCUGUUUGAGUGUCAUUAAUAUAUCAACCUCUUCAACUUUUGUUUGUCGGGUGUUGGAUUUGGGGGUCUUUUUUGCUGGUCUUGUAUCUACAGGUCAGCUCCCCUGAAAUGCAUUAGCAGAACAAUUUGUGAACCGUUCAUUGGUGUGAUAACUAUCUACGCUAUUGACGUGAAACAGGUUCAGCUUCUAACAGUCCAUUGACUUGGACAACUUUUCAUUAAUGUGACCUCAAAUCAGGUAGGACUACCCGCUGAACUUAAGCAUAUCAAUAAGCGGAGGCU